rnacentral:rRNA from 1 species
UACGUAGGGGCCGCAGUCGUUCGAUCCGAUUGUGGCGUAAAGAGCGUGUAGGCGGCCUGGUAGGUCCGAUGUGAAAACUGGAGGCUCAACCUCCGAGCGUGUGUGGAAACCACUGGCUAGAGUCCGGAAGAGGAGAGUGGAAUUCCUGGUGUAGCGGUGAAAUGCACAGAUAUCAGGAAGAACACCAAUGGCGAAGGCAGCUCUCUGGGACGGUACUGACGCUGAGACGCGAAAGCGUGGGGAGCGAACAGG